rnacentral:rRNA from 1 species
AACGAACGCUGGCGGCAUGCCUAACACAUGCAAGUCGAACGAGACCUUCGGGUCUGGUGGCGCACGGGUGCGUAACGCGUGGGAACCUGCCCUUAGGUUCGGAAUAACUCCCCGACAGGGGUGCUAAUACCGGGUAAUGUAUUCGGACCAAAGAUUUAUCGCCUUUGGAUGGGCCGGCGUUGGAUUAGCUAGUUGGUAGGGUAAAAGCCUACCAAGGCGACGAUCCAUAGCUGGGCUGAGAGGCUGAGCAGCCACACUGGGACUGAGACACGGCCCAGACUCCUACGGGAGGCAGCAGUGGGGAAUAUUGGACAAUGGGCGAAAGCCUGAUCCAGCAAUGCCGCGUGAGUGAUGAAGGCCUGAGGGUUGUAAAGCUCUUUUACCCGGGAUGAUAAUGACAGUACCGGGAGAAUAAGCUCCGGCUAACUCCGUG